GUCGGUCUAAGUUCCACGUGACGCGUGAACCGCGAUAUCGAUUUCCGUUAUCGUGAAAUGACAACUACGUCGCGCGCGAAGGCGGUCAGCGUUUCCGAUGAUCGUCGGGCGUCACGAUGACAGCAGCUCGUUACAGCGCGCGCAACAAUGGCGAACGAUCGCGUCGCUCGCGCUCGCGUCAGCGUUUUACCGCGCAUAGUUUGUGCGUACGGUAACAACGUCGGAUCGCUUUAUGGUGUCGCAGGAUCGGUGUAUAACUUCGUCCUCGUCCUCGUUCAUCUCGGCCACGUCCUCCCCGUGGAUUUGAAGGACGGUCGCGGUCACUUUUUCUUUGUCGCAUCGCCCUCAUCUCGCAAGGGACGUUGCUCGCUGCUCCGAUCGUGUUUACGAGACACCGUGAAUCGUGAUCAACGGGUUCCAUGCUCCUGGCAGCAGGAGCCUUUCUCUCGUUCGGUGUCUAUCAAAGGUGGAACGAGAGCGCGAGCGUCUCCUGGGGGGACCGGGAUUCUCUGUCAAUAUCCCGAAGUGAGUAUACAGGCUUCCGGGGCGGUCGCGGCGCGUGAAAUCGUUCCCCGCGGCCCCGUCGCCGUCACCUCGGCAUCGUGUUUUUUAAUCUUUUCAUUUUUGUCGGACACUGCGUUUAACAUACAUAACAUCAUAUCGACACACGUAAGCGUAGUCCACUAUAGCUGUGGUAAUUAGUAUAUGUAGUUAUUAGUAGUAUAUGCUGUCCGGAGAGGGCGAAAGGAGUGACCUCGAUGACGCGUUCGGCGGCGAUUCGCUAAAGUAUUUCAAGGUCAGGGGCGACUGCAGAUGUCUAUGUCGGAUCACCUCUCGCUCAGCAGGCAGCGGCCACAGUUCCUGCGCAAUCAGCGGAUAAGUCUAUUCAGAUUUUUAUUACACACUGCGGUGGGUGGGGUAUCGGGAAUAAAAGACAUAUAGCGAAUUGUUCGUUGAGAUAGCGACAACUUUGGAAAGUACAUUGUUUGCUUUAUUUGUCAUUGAUACAGUUGGAAAGGAGGGAAAUGAUGUUUCACUGAAUCGCUUCAUGGAUCAACCCUUUAACCUGUUACCUUUGCCAGUAUACGAGGAAGAGGAGCUUAUAUAAUAAUUGUACGAUUAACAUUGGAGGAUAGUAUCCAGAAAACUGGACGCCAUCUGGACGAUGCGGGUGAACAUAAACGACGAGUUUUCUUGUUUUCCUCCAGUUAACAGGUUAAGGACCACUUGGGCACGCUCGACUAUUUCUUUGUGAUACGAGAGAGCCUCGUCUCAGGACUCACCCUGCUUAUUUCUACGUCCAGUCAGAGAGCCAACUAGAGACUGCAGAGUGGUGCCCAGUCUUCUCUCCUUCGGAUUGUUCAGUUUGGUGGCGUGUUUAAAGCCCAGCGGGUGUGCGUCUAAGCAUUUCUGAUACCUCAGCUGUAUACGGAAAGAAGGAAUCGGAUUUCAGUCAAUAAUCGAGGCCCCGCUGCUGGGCUCGCAGUUGAAGACGUGUGCGAAGAAGAGAUUUUGCGCGGUGUGCAUUAUAAAAGCGCACUGUUUCACGUUCCGGCCAAUACCGAGGAACGACAAGUAACGUACUCGACACUCGGUGAUACUCUCCUCCUAGAAAAUACACCAACGAAUGGGAUCAUUAAUCCCUCAUCCUAUGACUUCUCUUAUAAUCAUGCUAAGAUAACUUUGACGUUAAGAGUUUAUCGAAAAACAAAGAAAAAUUCUUAGUUCAUCCAUACCCAAGUUUACCUCAAAAUAUAACAACUAAUAAUGAAAAAAUAGUAUUUAAUUUUAAUCCAAAAUAAUUGAGUGACAUUCAAUUCUUGUAAGUUCCGAUUGAGAACUUCCUCGCUAACUCGAUAUUGUAUGGCGAGGGGUUAAAUGGAAAUUAUUCAAUGAAGUCGAUUUCUGCAGCCCCUUAAUCUCAACUUACGUUCGGUGUAAGAAUAGAAAUCAUGCUAGGCGCGACAGCAACUUUCACGUUUCGCCAUUCGUUGAUAGGUGUCAUAGCUACGGUCUGAUCUAUCGCGUCGUUUAGAACCUUCAUGCCUGUGGCCUGAGAAACUCUUAUGGAUCCCAGAUACUGCGCCGGCAGUACCUUCUUUGGCUCUUCCAUCGGCGUUGGAAAGGAUUGUGCUGGGAACAGAUCGAUACACAAUUAAUCUUCUGACGCAACGAAACCUCCAAUCCUGUUCUAUCAGGAACAAUCAAUCAUUAAGACGUUUCGUGCCACGGAAAUUUUGGUCAUAUUUUGUUAAUGAACUCUAUUGAUUUUUAAAAUAAAAUAUUAAAUUAUAUUCACGUUUUCGGUCAUUUUUAUAUAUUUCGAUAUUCUUUCUUUAUAUUUUGGGUGUUUUGUAACGUAUACCACUCUUGAUAGACUCAAAAAUAUUUUCUUAUAAAAAUUGACGUGUACCAUAUUUGGUACAUAUGGACUGAACGUAAAAAGUAACGUCAAGGAUAUUGUUACUUUUAUCCAUUUCAAGUGCAACGUUUGAACGAUUUCGAUUACCCAAGCACUGGUUCGAUCUUUGCAAUAUCGAUCACUUACUGACUAGCCCUUGGCCAUUUCUAUGGAAGCGUCGGUGUUCCGUGGGCAAGUUGGUGGGUCUCGUGGCGAGGUUCGUUCGCCCGUUGAUGUCUACAGGCUUCGCCAGGUUCUGGUGUUGCGACCGCUCGAUCAUGAUCUU